UACGUAGGGAGCAAGCGUUGGUCCGGAAUCAUUGGGCGUAAAGCGCGCGUAGGCGGCCAGAUAAGUCCGGUGUGAAAGCCACAGGCUCAACCUGUGAAUGCCGCUGGAAACUGUCUGGCUAGAGUCCGGGAGGGGCGAGUGGAAUCCUGGUGUGAGCGGUGAAAUGCGCAGAUAUCAGGAGGAACACCGGUGGCGAAGGCGGUCUCUGGGCGAUGUCCUGACGCUGAGGAGCGAAAGUGUGGGGAGGCG
rnacentral:rRNA from 1 species